UGGGGAAUAUUGCACAAUGGGGGAAACCCUGAUGCAGCAACGCCGCGUGAGUGAUGAAGGUCUUCGGAUCGUAAAGCUCUGUCUUCAGGGACGAUAAUGACGGUACCUGAGGAGGAAGCCACGGCUAACUACGUGCCAGCAGCCGCGGUAAUACGUAGGUGGCGAGCGUUGUCCGGAUUUACUGGGCGUAAAGGGAGCGUAGGCGGACUUUUAAGUGAGAUGUGAAAUACCCGGGCUCAACUUGGGUGCUGCAUUUCAAACUGGAAGUCUAGAGUGCAGGAGAGGAGAGUGGAAUUCCUAGUGUAGCGGUGAAAUGCGUAGAGAUUAGGAAGAACACCAGUGGCGAAGGCGACUCUCUGGACUGUAACUGACGCUGAGGCUCGAAAGCGUGGGGAGCAAACAG
rnacentral:rRNA from 1 species